rnacentral:rRNA from 1 species
AUUGAACGCUGGCGGCAGGCCUAACACAUGCAAGUCGAACGGACACAGGAGACAGCUUGCCGUUUGGCUGACGAGUGGGGGAGGAGCGAGAAAUGUGUGGGAAAUAGCUUGAUGAAGGGGGUAAAAUACUGGAAACGGUACUUAAUACGGCAUAUCGAUGGAAGCUCAAAGAGGGGGAGUUUCAGGCGUUUUGCCAUCGGAUGAGCCCAGUUGGGAGUCGGUAGUAGGUAGGGCAACGGCUUACCUAGGCGACGAUCCCUAGCUGGUCUGAGAGGGUGAACCGCCACACUGGAACUGAGACACGGUCCAGACUCCUACGGGAGGCAGCAGUGGGGAAUCUUGCGCAAUGGGCGAAAGCGUGAUGCAGCCAUGCCGCGUGUAUGAUGAAGGCCUUCGGGUUGUAAAAUGCUGUCAGCGGGGAUGAAGGAAGUUAAUUUAAUCGCUGUGCUUAUUGACGUUACCCGCAGAAGAAGCCCCGGCUAACUCCGUG